GGCAGGCUUAACACAUGCAAGUCGAGCGGAGCGAGGGUGCUUGCACCUUAGCUUAGCGGCGGACGGGUGAGUAAUGCUUAGGAAUCUGCCUAUUAGUGGGGGACAACAUUCCGAAAGGAAUGCUAAUACCGCAUACGCCCUACGGGGGAAAGCAGGGGAUCUUCGGACCUUGCGCUAAUAGAUGAGCCUAAGUCGGAUUAGCUAGUCGGUGGGGUAAAGGCCUACCAAGGCGACGAUCUGUAGCGGGUCUGAGAGGAUGAUCCGCCACACUGGGACUGAGACACGGCCCAGACUCCUACGGGAGGCAGCAGUGGGGAAUAUUGGACAAUGGGCGGAAGCCUGAUCCAGCCAUGCCGCGUGUGUGAAGAAGGCCUUUUGGUUGUAAAGCACUUUAAGCGAGGAGGAGGCUACUUAGAUUAAUACUCUAGGAUAGUGGACGUUACUCGCAGAAUAAGCACCGGCUAACUCUGUGCCAGCAGCCGCGGUAAUACAGAGGGUGCGAGCGUUAAUCGGAUUUACUGGGCGUAAAGCGUGCGUAGGCGGCUUUUUAAGUCGGAUGUGAAAUCCCCGAGCUUAACUUGGGAAUUGCAUUCGAUACUGGGAAGCUAGAGUAUGGGAGAGGAUGGUAGAAUUCCAGGUGUAGCGGUGAAAUGCGUAGAGAUCUGGAGGAAUACCGAUGGCGAAGGCAGCCAUCUGGCCUAAUACUGACGCUGAGGUACGAAAGCAUGGGGAGCAAACAGGAUUAGAUACCCUGGUAGUCCAUGCCGUAACGAUGUCUACUAGCCGUUGGGGCCUUUGAG
rnacentral:rRNA from 1 species